AUCACUUCUUACAUUUUCCUAAAAGCAAGGAAUAAAACUGUAACAGUUAUAAAAUGGAACUUGGAUGUAACCACAGAACAUUUCUCUAGUUUAAAUUGUUUUAAGAACUUAAUUUUUUUUUAAUUGAAGGAUUCAAAUAUUCCCCUGAUUUCCAUUCAAUCUGGGACAGCACUGAGUGAAAACAGGAAACAUGUCAUCUGAGGAGAAUCAAAAUCACAGAUGAACAAAUCACAACUGAAAUCAAUGGGAAUUUAAGAGCAUGCUAAAGAGAACUGGUGUCAGACAGCAGCUGAAUAUCCGGAAAAAAAUUAUGUGUUUGCAAGGUGUCAGGCUUCAGUGACAGAGACACAACUGGAUUCCUUCGUGGAAAUGACACUGCUUCAGGAAGCACCCAUGUGACAUAUAGGUUUUUUUGCAGGAUAAUACCGUGGUCACCUACUCUCCAUAGCGGGAAAAUAUACGAAGAGGGGUAUGAAGCUACAGUUGAAGAACUUCAAAGUGACAUAAGUGUAUGG